UAACGUAUGAACAGACCUUAAGGCUA
rnacentral:sRNA from 1 species